AAAACCAACAACUGUCUCUCGCAUCUAUAAACUUACAUGCACAAUUUUUUUAAUUGCAGUAAGAAUGGCACUUCAGUUCUUUCGUCCAUUUUUUUUUAAUCCCUCUGAAAACACUCAUGCUUUAAAACGAGAAGAAAUAAGCCAAAUUCUACGUUACAUAAAAGAGGCAAAAGCUCUUUAAUUUGAAUUUAACUUCGGGUGUUCGAGUUUUAAUAAAAAGAUGCCAAAAAAUGAAGAUUCUGGGUAAUAGUUACUGGCUGGAAAAAAAAUGGUUGAAUUUCUUGCGAAGAAACAAUUUCCAGGACAUUCAUGAUGCCGAAAAAGAUAUUCCCACUUCAAGUUAUGCUAUUCCAUGAUGGAAAUUCAAUCCAAGGAGCCGAUAGUAGAUUCACCUUGCCAAACUAGUUCUCAAAUCAAAAGCAUAGUUAACUUAUUAGAUGAUAAUAGAAAUGUUAAAGACUCUACUUUAGAAUUCUCUUCUGAAAAUGAGAAUAUUAAUUUUCAAGCUGUUAAACUUGCAUUGGAAACUGAUAUUAUAACUUCUUCUAAGGAUUUGCAUUGCUAUAAUUCGAAGAAAAAUAAUUUGUCUGGCCAAUCUUUUUUGAAUGAUAAUUCAUCUGAUGCAAAAGUGAAAGAGUUUGGUUCAAAUGAAGUAACUGAUAAAUAUAUCAAAUCAAAACUGAUAGACACCCAAGAUUCAAGUACACAUGUAAGGGAAGUUAUAAAUCUAGAAUCAAGUGAUGAUGAGGAAUUGUACUACCCAAAUAAACUAGAUGAAAAAAGUAUUGAUUCGAAUGUAGUGGACACGAAAAAUUUUAUUGAUCAUGGAGAUGUAAAACAAAUUGUUGGUAUAAAUCUACAAUCAGUUGAUGAUGAGGAUCAGUUUCUAUAUGGGUAUUCUGAUCCUCCUUUAAAUGAGGUAAAAACACGUAUUAAUGAGAAAAAAACUGAGAUUUUUUUAAAGUCAAAUUGGAGUGACGAUGAUGAAUUUGACCAACAGGAGAAUGAAGGUUUUGUUAAUAAAUUAGAGUUGAAGGUUAGUGACAAUGUGGAUACUAACAUUGUGGAUCAUCCUCUGUUGCAAAAAAAUAAGUCUUCUUUAUCAAGUUUGUCAUUAACACCUGAUGCUAAGACAGCAGUCAAUAAGUUUAUAAAUGGAAGGGCAGAAGAUUGUAUUUUUUCAAAGCAAGUUAAAAUAAAUGCAGAAAGAAAAGCUAAUCUAACUUCAAGCAGUGCAAUAUGGAGUGAUGAUGAUGAGUAUGAGAUUGAGUUUUUUAAGAACAAACUAUGUUGUGAUAAUAGUAAAUUGAAUGAAAAAUCAUCUUCAUUGAAAGUCAAUGAAAACAAAAUAGCUAAAGGUAUUUUAAAAAAAAUAGUGGGGCAAAGUGAGGAACCAUCCUUAUUAUCAAAUAAUAUUAAAGAAGCUAAUAAUGAAUUGGGAAAUAACAGUAAGGAAGCUUCUGAAAAAGAUGAAGCAAUGUGUAGAAAUGAAAAUGAUUUAAGUGAUGAAAAAUUAAAAAUUCCAAUUCAAUCAGAUCCAUUUUUCAAAGUGAAAAGUAAAUGGGAGAACAGUGAGGAAGAAAAUGAAACUGAAUGUAAUACUUUAUUACUCAAUGCAAUGAUAUCUUCAAAGACAAAGCAAAUUAAUCAACCGAGCAAAUUAAGUAAGUUAAGCUCUAGUAAAAAUUUACCUGAAAGCGGACAAAAUAAUUCAUCUUCAGUAAUAUCUUUCAAUCCUGUAAUGAUUGAUGAUGAUUUUGAAAAAAAUCCUUCAAAAAACUCUGCUACUGAAAGUUCAAAGAAAAAUCACAAAUAUUCAGUUAAAGAUUGUGAUAAAAAAAAGUUUCUGAAAAAUAAAAAUAGUUCGAAAGCAUAUGAUCAUCAAAGACGAUUGGAUCAUGAUUCUAAUUCAAAAAGUAAUUUGCCUUCUGGCAAUCACGUUUCAAAUUCUGGGUCUUACAAACAAAAACAAAUUAUAGAAUAUUCUCAGACUCAAUCUUAUUGGGAUGAGCAAGACUUUUAUUCUAUCAGGGAAAAAUAUACUAAUUAUUCUAGAGGUAAAACUUCUACAUCAAGCUCACAUGAUAGACAUUGUUAUUCACCUUUUAGAAGAAAGGGUGGUAGGCCUAGCAUUUCUCCUCCUAGACAUAGAAGUUAUAGGCAAAGCAUUUCACCUCCUAAACAUAGAAGUUAUAGGCAAAGCAUUUCACCUCCUAGACAAAGAAGUUACAGGCAUAGCCGUUCUCCAAUAAGAAGGUAUAGUAGAUGUCGAUCUAGAAGUCCAAAAUAUUACAGAAGUUCUUAUAGUUCUAAAUAUUCUGCAGAGGGAUCCCCUCACAAUUUUUCAUAUAAUAGAAAAAGACACUCAUUUAGGAGCAGUGAUAGUGAAAGUCUUUCUGAUUUCUCUUUUUCAAGCUCAGGCAGUUAUGGUCAGCAAUCAAGAAAUAGGCCAUUCUCUAGAGCAAAAAACCAAACUAUAAGAAAAAAAUCUAUAACACCUAAGAAAAAUAAAAUGAAGAGUUCAUCAAGAUUAAAUAAAAAAUUAAAGCAAUUUGCAGGGCCAAUUGAAGUACUAGAUUCUUCAAAAGCCAAAGUUCAUGAUAUUGCUCAGAGUUCAAACUUAAUUAAUUGCAAACUUAUGCAAGAUGUAAAAGAAGUUGAAUUGCUUAAAAAGCAAAGAACUGGCGAGCAAAAUAUUGAUAAGGAAAAUUCUGGUUCUGUAUUAUCGAGUAAAGUUUUACCUCCAGAACAAGUAUUACCAGCAGUUCCCUCUUCGUUUCCAGAUUCUCAAAAACUUCAUAAAUCUUAUUCUAAGCAGCCACCUGGCUCUUAUUAUAACAUUCCUUGUUGUGAAGAUGCUCCUUCACAGACAUCUCCCAAAAAUUUAGAACCACGUAAUUGUUCAGAAUACCAUAGUUUUUCUCCAAUUGAUAAUGCAGUGUUUCCAACAGCAGAGAAUAAACAUUCAACUUGCAGAAAAGUUUAUUUAAAAUCUACUCCAAGGAACAAUUUAGUUCAAAUUUCCACAAAAAUCCCUAAAAAAGAUAAGAACUGUAAAAAAACUUGUAAAAUAGCUGAACCUGUGAGUCAAAUUAUUGAAGAAACCAAACUUUUGCCUGAUUUGACUAAUGCUGCAUGCCUUAGAGAUAGCAAAGCAAUUGAUCAAAUCAUUCCUUCAUCCAUAAAAUCAAAUUUCACUUAUCCGUCAAUUUCUAUAUCUAAAUUAAAAGAGUCUGCUGUAAUUUAUGACACAGACCAUACUGAUCAAAAAUAUAAUGCAGAUGUUGAUUUUUAUAAGAAAAACUUUAAAGGUUCUGUUUUUGAUGAGAAAAUUUUAAAAAAGGCACUAAGUAGUAUAAUUAUGAAUAUGGCUGAAACUCGUAAUUUUAUAAAACAGAUAGAAAAUAAAAAAAAUACUUCUAAAAGUGAUAAGAAUGUAUUAAGUUCAUGCAAAAAAUUUAUUGUUCAUGCUGAAAAACAAAGAAAUAUUCUCCUUGGAAAAAUUGAACAAAAGUGUGAAGAUUUAGAAACUUUACAGAAUAUGUUUAAAAAAGAGGACCUUAAAGCAUUGGGAAAAGAAAUUGAAACUAAGAUAGGCGAAAGCAGUUUCAUACCUCGUAGAACAUCAACUCCGAUAAAAUUUGCAGCAUAUGACGCCCAACAUCACUGGUGUGAUUUUUGUUGCAAAGAGUUUAUCACUGUGGGCGAAAUAUUAACUCAUUUUUACAGUUCUGAGCAUCUAAAAAGUGUUGAUCCAUGUCAUCCUAUUAAUUUCAAAGAGCCAGUCAAAGAAGUGAUUGAAAGUGAUUAUGUUCUUAAGCCCAUUAAAGGAGUAGAAUUUGUCAAACCACAUCAUUCAUUUUAUUGCACUCUGUGUAAUGAAUCAUUGUUGAGUAAAAGCCAUGCUCAUCAGCAUUUAAAAGGACACACUCAUACUUUCAAUUACUAUAUGCAUUACAAUGAAGAAAAUCCUACGUAUGAUAUGUUUAGAGAGGUAAAGAAAACAUUGUAUAAACAUGGUUUGAUCAAAAACACCAAACAAAAUUUUGCUGAAAAGCGAUUAACAUUUGGUAAAAGGCGAUUUCUAUAUCCUAAAGCUGAUGGUAAGCAGGCAAAUAUUCUAGUAGAUAAUGAAAAAUCUACUAAUUGCAGAAUAGCUUCAAGAAAGAAAAUUGACAUUAAAAUUAAAAAUAGACCUAUGAUUGGACAGAUGCCCAACUAUAAAUCUCGUGCAAAUCUAAAAAAAAUUCUAAUACGAAAAGAAAAAGUUGGAGAUAAAAUCUCACUAACGGAAAAAAAUUCUCAAAAUAAUGAAGUCUGCAAAAACACAGAAGAAAAUCAGUUUCAAAAGGCAGAAGAAAAUAAUGUUUUAGAAAGAUCAGAGGUUAAUGCUUUAUUUGAUGAAGAAACAAAAGCUCAUAAUGAAACUUCUCUGAUUAAAGAGAAUGUACCAAAUAAGGAAAUGUGUAUGAACUCAGAAGAAAAUCAGUUUCAAAAGGCAGAAGAAAAUAAUGAUUUAGAAAAAUCAGAGGUUAAGGCUUUAUUUGAUGAAGAAACAAAAGCUCACAAUGAAACUUCUCUAACUAAAGAGAAUGUACCAAAUAAUGAAAUGUGUAUGAAUUUAGAAGAAAACCUGCUUCAAAAAAGAGAAGAGAAUUGUGACAUUUUUUUAGAAGAAUCUACUGUAAAUACUUUUGCUCAAAAAACAAAAGCUGAUAAUAAACCUUCACUAGCUAAGGAGAUUUCACAUAACUAUGAAAUACUUAAAAACACUAAGGGGAAACAGCUUCAAGAAAAUGACAAAAGUGAUAUUUAUUCAUUAAAAUCUGAAGUGAUGCUUAUUGAAGAAAGGCAGAACAAAACUAGCCUAGAACAGAAACUUCCUUUAAAAUUUUCCCCUCUCUUUACGCAAUGUGGGAAAAUGUCAUCUUUUCAUUUGGAUUCUCAAGAGAAUAAAGCUGAAAAUAUGUUUCCAAUUACACCUGAAGAAGAAGCAAAAACACGAGUAGAUUUAUCUUCUAAUAGUUUUGAUUUAAACAAUCCACUCUCAUCUUCACCUGCACAAGUUCUUUCUCAUGAAAUUAUAGUGGAUCAACCUAAUUCAGAUUUUGUUCAGACUACAGAUAUUCAUGAAAUUCAGGUGAACACAGAAAAGCUUAAUACUAAAAUGGAAACUGAAAUAAAUGUCCCUGGUGUGUCACCUCAUUCAUUUAAAAGGAAGUAUUCUGCUUGUGAUUCAAUUGAGAGAGACACUAAGAAACUAGCAAUAAGUUCAGACUCAGAAAAUGGAGCGCUUCAGAAUAUUGCAAGUGAAAAUCAAUCAUCUUUUGAAGCUACUUAUUAUUUAUAUUGUAGAGAUACUGAAAGUCAAUCUUCUCAGUUAAAUACUGCAGCUUUCAUUACAAACAAAAGUUCAAUAACUGAAUCUGAAACUUUGUUGGAUUGUGAAAAAACUUUAACAAGUUGUAUUAAAUACAAAUUACCAGCUAGAUAUGUAAUUAACGAUAUUUUUGGAGGUCGCAAUACGUCAAGUUUUAGAGUAAAAACUCAAAUUGACAAAGAUUUUCAAAAGUAUACAGUGCAGAGUCAGAAAGUAUUGACCUCUAUUAUAAAUAUGGUUGCCAAAAAUAUUGAUAAGGAACUUGAUACUGUAAAAAUUAAAAAUAAUGAAGCAACUUCUGACUUUAAAGAAUUUGCUGUUUCCCUGACAUCAGUACCAGACAAAGAGUAUAUUGAAGAAAUGAAAAGUGUAGUUAAAUCUCAUGAUAGCAGUCUACCAAUUUCAGCUGCAAAUGAUGUCCUAGAGCUCAAGAAUGAUAUUCACUUUUCAUUGAAAACUAAAUCAACUAAUGAAAGUAUUGCUCAAGAAAAUUCUGAGUAUGUACUCAGAGAAGGUAAUGCAGAGCUUAAAGAUGUUUCACUGGUUGAUGUGAAUUUAGCUGAUUGUGGUGAUUUUAAAGGUAAAAUUUCAAACGAGGUACAAGAAAUUUUGGGUAAUUUGAUAAAUAAAUUAGUUUCUGAUACUUCAAAGACUAUGAAAUCAAAUAUUUUGUUUGAUAAAAAUGAAAAUGUUAUUGUCUGCCAUUCAAAUCAAUUUUUUAAUGAUGCAUUUAAAGUAAGUGACGAAACUAUGAAAGAGCCUGAAUCAUCUCAAAAAUCUGAUGAACUUAAAGAAACAGAAAAGUUACUUGCUAGUUGCAGAAAAUGUUCUAUUCGUUUGACUGAUAUUUCGCGAGAGUGGAAAAAAAGAAAAUAUAAUGGAAAGAAAAUAUAUUAUCUACCACAUUUUAAAGGUGUUAGGCUGAAGUCAGAAAAUGAGGUUAAAAACUAUUGUAAAAAGCAGAAUACAGCAUUCCCACAUUAUUUGUUUUCAUCUAAGCAAAGGAAUAAUAAAGACUGAAUUUAAGUGAUUCUGCCUACAUGAUAUAGUGCAUCAAAUACAACUAAAGUUCUAGUCGGGACAGGAAAAGAAAGUAGUGACUUUCCCUUGGACACACACUUUUUCCAUUGGGUAAAAAACGAAUUGGACAGAACUAGUGCAGCUGGUUUAUUUAGUUCUUAUUCCAAGUGUUUUUCCUGAAAUCUAGUCAACUACCUGAUUGUGGAAAAGUAAAUCCUUGUAUGAUUGUACCUUUUCUAAAUUCUAUUUUGUUAACUUUACUUUUCUUACUGUGCAAUAUUAAUAUUGAGCAUUAUACAUAUAAAAAGGGAAAAUUUAUUAUUUGUCUUAUUGGCAAUACGUAAGGAUGAGAGUUAAACGAAAUGCUUUAUAAUCAGUGCAAUAUUGCAUACAUUUUUUUUAGUGCUUUCUAAAUUUUACUUUAUUUUCUUCAGUGAUAUCUAUAACAUCAGUUAAAUGGCGAAAGUCUAUUAAGAGAUUUUUUUUUAUAUAAUUAAUUAUAUUCUAUUUUAUGGCAGGGUGUAUAGUAACUUGAACAAACAGAAAAAUUUCUAAGUAAUAUCUUAUUAUAUUUCUUUAAUCUUUCAAUGCUAGUUUCAUGACUUACUUUUGUAACUAGAGUGCAUUGAAUUUUUUUUAAAAGUUAAAACUGUAAUUAUGAGGUUAAUAUAUUUUCAAGUUCAAUACAUAUCCUUAUUUAACUAAGUUAUGAUCGCUUUUCAUUAUUUCUUUACUGAGCUAAGUUACUUUUCUAAAAAUCCUUAUAUUAUAAAACUAGUAUCUUAAACGUUUAAUCCCAAUUUUUGAAAAAGAAAAAUGGUAUAAGAAUUUUUUUUGACAAACAUUUAUUUGUAAAUAAAUGCAGUUCUUAACCAUUUAAAGUGACAUUUAAAAAAAAAAUUACUUUAGUAGUUUAUUAGAAAAAUAUUAAUUCCAUUCAGUUUUGUUUUUCUUAAAGAGAGGCACUUAAGGUUAAAGAAACGUAAAAUUAUUUUCUGUCAGAGUUUUGCAUGAAAUUAAGUAUAUUUCAUAUAACAGUUAUGUUUACUAUGUUUAUUCUAUUGUUGUUUAAAAUAAAUUUUUGUUUAAGUUGC